GCCUACAGGGGAACUCGUCUUUUUCUUUAUCUGUUGGAAUGGUACCUAUUCGCGUUGGUGAUCCAUUUGUAAUAUAGACUGUUAAGUGUGAAAGAAAUUUUAUUACGUAUUUCUUCAUUUGUUUGGAUAAGAGUGCAAUAAAUGAUCAAACGAUGGAAAAAGAAAUCGAGUUUGUAAAUUCAAAUAUUCAUGAAUGAGACGACGAAGAAUGAAGAACAAGGUUGAGGUCAAAUUAUAUCAAUUUCAAUAUUGAAAAAAUUGGAGAAAUUGAAAAAAUUCAGAAAAAAAAAUACAAAAAAUAUUAAUUCUGAUAAAAUAAAUAAAAUUAUUCUAAACUUUAAAAAAUUAGUAACAAAAAAGUAUGUAAUCCUUGACAUGUUCUCUCACGAAUAAUAUCACGAAAUCGUAAAAUCAUAAUUGUUAAUGUAUUAAAAAAAAUUGACAAUUAGAAAUAAAAAACUUGAUAAAUAAAUUCA